AUUUCCUUCGGGACUGAUUAUUUUGUGACUGAGCGGCGGACGGGUGAGUAACGCGUGGGUGACCUGCCCCAUACCGGGGGAUAACAGCUGGAAACGGCUGCUAAUACCGCAUAAGCGCACAGGAUCGCAUGAUCCGGUGUGAAAAACUCCGGUGGUAUGAGAUGGACCCGCGUCUGAUUAGCCAGUUGGCAGGGUAACGGCCCACCAAGGCGACGAUCCAUAGCCGACCUGAGAGGGUGACCGGCCACAUUGGGACUGAGACACGGCCCAAACUCC
rnacentral:rRNA from 1 species